CUUUCUUCUGGACUCCAAAAUAGGCAUGGGAUUUUUUUCCCCAAAAAAAACUUUUUGGCUUCUUUUUUGGUCUGUCACUUUAGGCUUUGUAAGGGGAUUCUACUACUUACUGGAUGACCUGCUGAAACCAAGGACGUUGAAGGAGAAUUCGCAUGUCCACUUUAACAAUGACCACAGCCGGGGAUGCAGGCGCUCCGGGCAUUUGGCGCUUAGACAGGGACCUGAAAGGAAGGCUUCCCCCGGCAGAGUGGCCCUGAACAAGGUGGGCUGUUUGGCCAACAGCCCUAGAAAAGGAGCUCGGGUCGUCAAGAGAAGACGCUAACAAGAACAUGCAUGAGAACCAGUCUGGGCUCCCGAGAGGAACAUCCGUACCUGUCAGCAUACUGACCAGAGGGAUAGAGACCCUGAGCAUCAAAGGAAAAACUGAUCAGAGACAAGUGGAGGAGGAAGGCGAGACCGAGAAGAAGAAGAGCCAAUAAUAAGAUGUUGAUUGUCCUUUUUUGCAAUGAUGACUGCCGCAGAUGGCUCCGGGAUGGAGUCAUGAUUACAUUGGACUUAUAUGCCUUACCCCCCUUGGGUUAAACCUGUAACUUGACCACUAUACUUUUGUUUGUGUAACUCCCUAUUUGCUUUCUAAUACUACCAAUGUAACUCCUGAUCAAAUAUUGAAUAAGC